ACUGCGGCAAGCGGCAAGUAGAGAGUUGGGGAGCUGACGGGCACACGUAAAACAUGGCGGAGGCCGUUGUGGACGGGAGUCCGAUGUCUCGGUUUUUUUGCCACAAAUGCAGCGUCGAGAUCGAGCAAGUGCUGCCGAAUUUCAGAUGUCCACGAUGCUCGAGCGGCUUCAUCGAAGAGCUGGAAAGCAGCAGCAACGAGGGCAGCUCGGGCAUAGACAACAACGAAGAUCUGGAAGGGGAUAUCGACAUCCUGGCAUAUAACCGUGACCGUGAUCGUGACAUAAUAGAUAUGAUUAUGGGUCUCUCCAAUUCAUACUCCAAUCAACAGUUGAAUACCAGCCAACAACCCGGAGGUGGCAAUAGAAACUAUGUGCUUACGAGCAGAAGAAGGUCUAAUUGGUCUCGUGCCCCUCAAGAUGGACGUCGCACCAGCAGUAGCAAUCGUAGAAGACAAGAGAGUCUACAGGUGCCUAUAGAGAAUUUCAUACAAGAUUUUCUCUUCAAUCUCUCGGGAGCGGCGAGUCUGAGUAACUCUGUGGGCCAAGAUGGACAGCCCUCUGUAUUCGAUAUUAGACUGUUCUUGGGAAAUCCUGGAGAUUAUGUUUGGGGUCGCGAUGGAUUAGACGCUAUUGUUACCCAAUUAUUGAAUCAAAUGGAUGGUACUGGACCACCACCUUUAUCACGCAACCAGAUUGACGAAAUACCUACUACUACUAUUACACAAAGUCAAGUUGAUUGUAAACUACAAUGUUCCGUUUGCUGGGAAGACUUCAAGCUAUCGGAACCUGUUAGACAGUUGCCAUGCCAGCAUGUCUAUCACGCGCCAUGCAUUGUACCCUGGUUGGAAUUACACGGAACCUGCCCUAUUUGUAGACAGAACUUGGGAGAUCAAAAUCAGGCUGAAGCGAACCAAGAUACUGGAACCAACAUAGCUGGAUCUACUUUGGCUGGGUCCAGUUUUGCUGCUUUAUUUAGGGCAGCAAAUGAAGCAAGCAACCGAACGGGACAGCCAAUUAGCCGGACAUCGUCCACUUCGUCAUCUACUUCAUCAGAGUAGUAGCUCCACUUCAAGUGAGAUUUGAGAGUGAUAUUUUUCUUUCAACUAUCCCCGUUUCAUGAUUUAGCCGAAUGUAUAUCUAUUUUUAACACAUUGAUACUACUUCUCUGGCACUCUUGCCUUUAGUAAGGCACAAAUCUCUUUACAGAUAAAACGUGUCAGCUACAAAAUUCGAAUCGCGAUCGCUUAAUCGAUUGAUAUUGUCUCAAGUGUAAAGUGCUGAGUUCAACGAAAUGUUUUGUUCUACGGUUCAGCAAAUUGUAUUACGUAGAUAUCGGUCGAAAUAACAAAAUCCGUAGAUUAAAUUGUUACAUCUAUCUCUGCCUGUGGCGCUAAUUUUAACAUUCAACAUUAGAAUGUUAUAUACAGAGACUAUAAUAGAUCUUACAGUCUUUAAUGCCAUUUGAUUUAAUAUUUAUAAAUACUGGAAUGGUUAUUGAAACAAGCCAGGCACUGGCGAAUUAUACACGCUAUUACAGUUCGGAAUAGAAAAGGGCUUUUACUUCAAUUAAAUUUAUUAUUUAAAAAAGAGAAAAACUGCAAAAGUAACCUACGUAGUCUUUAUAGACGUUAUUUAUACGUGGGUAGUUUUAUUUUGAGUAAAAUUAAUUUCAAGUAAACUUUUGGAACAAGUUAACAAAUUUUAUGUUAUUUAUAAAAUUAAACUAUAGUUUUUCGCCGAGGCUCAGUAAGAUCAAUGUAUGUAAACUUAGUAUAAAUAAACAAAAAUUCGCGAUCUGAAAACAAACUGUAAUAAAUUCAAUUGACGCAUGAUGCAAAAGAUAUCUGUAAUUUAUAAAGAAUUUCGCUUUCUGCAAAUAUGUGUAUACCUGAAAUUAGAACAUAUCACACGAGUAAAAGAUCUAGCGGUCAAAGAGCUAAUAGGACUCAUAUAAAGUAUGUUGGGCUUCAGUUCUCGUUUUUUUUUCUGAAAAUGCAAAAUUAUAAAAAUGGACUGUUGACAAUUACAUGAUUACUUUUUCAUUAUCGAUUGACUGUUGUAUGUAUCUAUUUAGGUAUUCUAUAUCUUGACGAUAGCCAUCUGAGUCUCGACGAAUAAAGUGUGAGUGUGAAACAUUCGCUUUGUUCCAUUUUCUUAGUGUGUAAAAACACAAACUGAUUUUUAUAACGUAAAUGCAUAUGAAUAAAGCGCAUUCGUGGCAAACCUACGCAACAUAUAUAUACAUACAUACACACAUACAUAUAUAUACACACAAUCUUAUAGUAAAGUCUCUACAGAGAAUACGCGCACUCAUGGAGAUAAACCCUUGCAUCCGCAAUUGUGUAGUUUGCAGCAAUCGACAAAGUUACAUAUAUUGUAUAAACAUAAAAUAGGAUAUAGCGUAAAGAAUAUGAUUAGAAAUUGUAUCUAAAUUUUUCUGGCUAACGUUAUUACGUAUGCAAUUGAAACUGAGUUAAUUUCGCGCUAAUUGUAUAUAUACGCGACAAACAAAUCUCGUAUGCGUUUACACAACAAAAAGUAUCGCGCUGUACUACUAAAACAUCAGUUUAAAUUUUAUUUUUCACAUAUAAUGUCGCCUGCUUUGCUGUUCACAAUGGUAAAAUGUGGUUUGUUUUAAAAAAAAGUUAAAUAUUAAAAUAAAAAGAGAGUUGAGUUUUGUACAUGCAAGACCAUUACUGAAUUUUUUUCAAUAAGCAGAGUUCUGAACAGAAGCAUACAACUAGUAGGUCCACUCCGUGUUUCCUUUUACGUAGAUUCCUUCUGCGUACCCGACAUUGUUCUGAGCAGACCAAUGAGAGAAAAGUUGUAUGUGUGGUAGUGUGGCUUUAAUAAGCACACACGCACACAUACAUCACUGGAUCCUGUCUGAGUGCAUGGCGGAAUACCAUGUGAUAGGGACUGCAAAGAUUAAAGAGACCGAUAAAAAGUCGGACCUACUAGUUAUACUAUGGUAAGAGUGCUAAUACGUGGUUGGAAAAUGAUUAGUUAGUUUAAGAAAAUGACUCCUUGCACUCUUGCGAAAUUUUAUAUAUAAAAUCUGCGUAAUGUUCAGAACAAAUUACUUUGCUAUUGAAUAACUUGGAAAAUUCAGGAGCGAUUGGCUCUUUUUAGGCAAUUAGUUUGUUCCAAUAUGCAAUGAAAAAUGACGAAGAAAUAGUCAUAACAUUACAUUCUGUUUGACAUCGAUGGUUGACUAAAUGACUAAAUAAUAAAUAUAAAUAAAUAUGUAAUUAAUGAGAGGAUAUAUAUUAUCGAUUUAACACAGUAGUGAUGUUAAAAUAACGUUGAUACAACCUGGAAUUGUUUUUAAGCGAAAACAAUAUUAUAAAUUUUCUUAAAACACUAACUCUUUACGUUCCUGAUACUUUUCAGUGUGUCAACAAUAAGCAGUGAUAUUUGUGUUUAUUAUACGAAGUAAAGUGGAGGAUUUUCCGUUUGUUAUGUAUAAUAUAUAAAAAUACCAGAAUUUAAACGAUGUUUAUACAUGUUUUCUAGCAAAUAAUAGACUGUAAAUUUAUUAGUAGAGUACUAUGGGAUAUAUUUAUUCGCCAA